rnacentral:rRNA from 1 species
UACGGAGGGUGCAAGCGUUAUCCGGAUUUACUGGGUUUAAAGGGUGCGUAGGUGGGCAGGUAAGUCAGUGGUGAAAUCUCCGGGCUUAACCCGGAAACUGCCAUUGAUACUAUCUGUCUUGAAUUUCCUGGAGGUAAGCGGAAUAUGUCAUGUAGCGGUGAAAUGCUUAGAUAUGACAUAGUACACCAAUUGCGAAGGCAGCUUACUACGGGAAUAUUGACACUGAGGCACGAAGGCGUGGGGAUCAAACAGG